CUUCAUGUUUUACCCAAACUUUUGAUCCUGAGUUACGCUUAUCAAUUUUUGUUUUGAACACUGUCAUCUUCAUCGUCUCCAAACCUAAUUUUAGGGUUCACAAUUCUCUUCGAUCUCCAAACACGAUGAUAUUCAUAAGCGCUCACUCACACCAACAAUGGAGGAUCUCCCUUUGUCUCUUCAAUCAGCUAGACACUCUUUCCUACAGACCGUUACGGGAUGCUUUGAUUCAUCGUCAUUAACUACCGUCUUAACUCAUUCAACCCACUCCAAACACGUUUCCUCAUUCAAUGUAUCUUCUCUCUGUACAAAGCGGUGAAUCUACAGCUAUAAAAAAGAGUCUUUCCUACUGCUUCAAGUUUUUAAGGAAUUGAUAUCAAUCUCGCUUCUAGAUUUCAGACGUAAGGGUUAUUAUUAAGAAAUUCUUCCAUCUGUCAGAUCAAACCCGGAGUUUCAAACCGACGAGUGAGACGAACCGUUCAAAAGAAACUCAGAUCAACAUUGUCCAGCUGUUACAUUCAAUAUAUUCAUAGAACUGUUCCUAAGAUGGUUAAUGGGAACAUAAUAAUACUGGGUAGUUUCCUUCCUUUUUGAAUCAUCAUUUCAUUGAUCACGACAGUGGUGGCAUGUAUAUGGUUUUAGGAUACAGUCGCUUCCUUUUAAAAAAAUUGAUUCUUAAAUUUGAGAAAAAAAAUAUAGUGUUAUGAGCAAUACCGUUUAUUGAUUAUGUUUUCUUUGUAAAUGUGUUUCAGCCACCGUGAAAGCAAGGAAUCUCUAACUCGCUCACCAACCAACAACACAAAAACAGAAUUUGUACUGUGUUUCAUAUGGUCUUGCAGCGACAUCAAAACUCUCUACCGUAAGUGGCACCAAAAUUGAAAAAUAAUCGGUUGACGGGUCUACAAGAAGUAGUGGCUCAUCAAGCUAAGGAUUGUGACAGAACUCGCCAAUGUCGGUACGCAACAAGAGGCUGUUCUUGCUACUAUCUUGCCGGAAAAUCCUGAAAGCUUUAUGAAAUUAUUUGAACUGGUUAUUGUUGUUAUUCGUCCUCUAAUCCAGAUAGUGUUAUGUAUUGAUGCAUAGUGUUGGAGUGCACACACCUGGAGAGCUCAAAACACUAGAGAAGAGAAUGAAAUCUUCUCAGCUCAGGACUAGGAACCUCACAACCAGUGACUUAGUAAAAGAUCACCUGCGUUACUUGGUACCUCUCUUUAGGCAAUAUCAUUGAUUGAUGCAAGAGUAUGAACCACGCUUUGCAUAUGUUCAGAUGGGUGGAAGAUCAAGUGUUGAAGAAGAGAUUCUCUGCAAGUUUAGCUUCCCUGAGAGACUUGGUACUCUGAACUUCUUGGACUCUUUCAGUCCAUGUUGGAACAUUAGCCUUUUCCAUUACCGUUUAGAGGGUGGGCAGGUGCGAACGUGCUGGUCGGGAUCCAAGUGCCGGAGCAAAACAUGGUGGAUUUCAGAAACCGAGCUCAAGUUCUUGGAUACAAGUACGUCUUGGUAAAUGAAGACACUGUUUUCAAGCAUCUUAUGCUCCGAGUUUAAAGUUGCAAUGGAGAGACCAAAACCAAGAAGGAAGUAGAAGAAUACAUGAGUGGUCUUCAUUGUGUCCAUGGUUGGUCUUGAGCUCUCUGUUAGAAACAUCUGUGAGUCUUGGGUCAUUUCCUGUCAUUGCCUGUGAGCUCUCAGAUGUGUAUACUUUGGAUACCUUUCGUCAAAUACUUUGUAGUUAUUAUCUUUUCUUUUUUUGUUAAAGUUUUUUUCGUUUAAUGAUAAUACAAUCUCAUCUCA